CAGCCAGCGGUAGAGAGAGCUUGCUUCUCUUGAGAGCGGCGGACGGGUGAGUAAUACCUAGGAAUCUGCCUGAUAGUGGGGGAUAACGUUCGGAAACGGACGCUAAUACCGCAUACGUCCUACGGGAGAAAGCAGGGGACCUUCGGGCCUUGCGCUAUCAGAUGAGCCUAGGUCGGAUUAGCUAGUUGGUGAGGUAAUGGCUCACCAAGGCUACGAUCCGUAACUGGUCUGAGAGGAUGAUCAGUCACACUGGAACUGAGACACGGUCCAGACUCCUACGGGAGGCAGCAGUGGGGAAUAUUGGACAAUGGGCGAAAGCCUGAUCCAGCCAUGCCGCGUGUGUGAAGAAGGUCUUCGGAUUGUAAAGCACUUUAAGUUGGGAGGAAGGGCAUUAACCUAAUACGUUAGUGUUUUGACGUUACCGACAGAAUAAGCACCGGCUAACUCUGUGCCAGCAGCCGCGGUAAUACAGAGGGUGCAAGCGUUAAUCGGAAUUACUGGGCGUAAAGCGCGCGUAGGUGGUUUGUUAAGUUGAAUGUGAAAUCCCCGGGCUCAACCUGGGAACUGCAUCCAAAACUGGCAAGCUAUAGUAUGGUAGAGGGUAGUGGAAUUUCCU
rnacentral:rRNA from 1 species